UGGGGAAUUUUGGACAAUGGGCGCAAGCCUGAUCCAGCCAUGCCGCGUGAGUGAAGAAGGCCUUCGGGUUGUAAAGCUCUUUCGGCGGGGACGAAACGGUCCGUGCUAACACCACGGACUAAUGACGGUACUCGCAGAAGAAGCACCGGCUAACUACGUGCCAGCAGCCGCGGUAAUACGUAGGGUGCAGGCGUUAAUCGGAAUUACUGGGCGUAAAGCGUGCGCAGGCGGCUCCUUAAGUCAGAUGUGAAAGCCCCGGGCUUAACCUGGGAACUGCGUUUGAAACUGGGGAGCUAGAGUGUGGAAGAGGGGGGUGGAAUUCCAGGUGUAGCAGUGAAAUGCGUAGAGAUCUGGAGGAACACCGAUGGCGAAGGCAGCCCCCUGGGCUAACACUGACGCUCAUGCACGAAAGCGUGGGGAGCAAACGAGGAUUAGAUACCCUGGUAGUCCACGCCCUAAACGAUGUCAACUAGUUGUCGGGGAAGCAAUUCCUUGGUAACGAAGCUAACG
rnacentral:rRNA from 1 species